rnacentral:rRNA from 1 species
CAGCAGCCACGGGAAUACGAAGGGUGCAAGCGUUACUCGGAAUUACUGGGCGUAAAGCGUGCGUAGGUGGUGGUUUAAGUCUGCUGUGAAAGCCCUGGGCUCAACCUGGGAAUUGCAGUGGAUACUGGAUCACUAGAGUGUGGUAGAGAGAUGCGGAAUUUCUGGUGUAGCAGUGAAAUGCGUAGAGAUCAGAAGGAACAUCCGUGGCGAAGGCGGCAUCCUGGGCCAACACUGACACUGAGGCACGAAAGCGUGGGGAGCAAACAGGAUUAGAUACCCCCGUAGUCCCUGUCUCUUAUAC